rnacentral:rRNA from 1 species
CGCGCACACACCGCCCGUCACUCUCCCCAAGCCAACACCAUCCUAUAAAUAAUGUAUUUUACCGGUAAAGGGGAGGCAAGUCGUAACAUGGUAAGUGUACCGGAAGGUGCACUUGGAAAAAU